GACGAACGCUGGCGGCGUGCUUAACACAUGCAAGUCGAACGGAAAGGCCCUGCUUUUGUGGGGUGCUCGAGUGGCGAACGGGUGAGUAACACGUGAGUAACCUGCCCUUGACUUUGGGAUAACUUCAGGAAACUGGGGCUAAUACCGGAUAGGAGCUCCUGCUGCAUGGUGGGGGUUGGAAAGUUUCGGCGGUUGGGGAUGGACUCGCGGCUUAUCAGCUUGUUGGUGGGGUAGUGGCUUACCAAGGCUUUGACGGGUAGCCGGCCUGAGAGGGUGACCGGCCACAAUGGGACUGAGGUACGGCCCAGACUCCUACGGGAGGCAGCAGUGGGGAAUAUUGCACAAUGGGCGGAAGCCUGAUGAAGAAACGCCGCGUGCGGGAUGACGGCCUUCGGGUUGUAAACCGCUUUCGCCUGUGACGAAGCGUGAGUGACGGUAAUGGGUAAAGAAGCACCGGCUAACUACGUG
rnacentral:rRNA from 1 species